UCUUAUUUCAUGCAGCUUGUUUUCCUUGGUGACUAGAAGAGAGAAGUUAAAACAAAUGACCUGUGAUCCACUCACUUUCUUUAGGAGCUGUCCAUCCCUGGAACAGUUACAAAGGGAAUCAGGGAAGUUCCUGCUGAUGAAUCAUCCAUCAUCCUUCUUGGUGGACUGAAGAAAAGGCCUUUCCAUUAUUUGAAGGAAAUAUUGACAAGAAAUUUACCUACGUUUGACAAACCUGAAGGUCAGUAGAGUUCUGGAGAUAAUCUAAAGAGUUCUGAAUGCUUGAAGACAUCACCCAGCCUCCUGACUUUGCAUCUUACUAACAAUUUAGAUAUGAAGAAGUCAAUAACUUCUCUGACUACUUCCAAGCUAUAAGGUCACUGACAUAGAGAACAUGUAAAUUUUGCUCUGGACCCACUUAC